rnacentral:lncRNA from 1 species
UAAAAUUGUAAGAUCUGAUUGAGGUUUAUGUCAGGACUUGUAAAAUUAACUUUUUUAAAUUGGGCUUUAUUUUAGGUUGUACUAGUUCAGUUAUACAUGGCUUUUAAUGUAGUGAUUUUAUGGGGGAAAAGUUGUUUAGAGCAAGCCAAGCUAAAUUUAGUUUGUUGGUAGCAUAAAGAGCUUCAAAAAAGAUGUAUAGAUAUAUAUAUAUAUUUUCAAUUUCUUCUGUAGAAACAGUUGCAUGGCAAGUCAAAACACUGUUCUAGCAGAGCCAGACAGGAACCCCACCAUCACUCCACAGUGGGAAACCUCUGUGAUGCGUAUGCCCAGGAUGCUCUCAGAUCAGAGAGAAAAGUCGCUCACUCAGCUCAGAAGAGUUCAAGAAGGCUUUCAGGGGAAAUUAUGUUUUGACAAGUAAAUCAAAUGUUUACUAAAAAUAGAAACUUCAAAAAUUAUUAUUCAUGAUGUUUUCAUAAUUCUCUAGUUUGAAGACACAAUACUGGAUUGGUGGCACAAUAUUCAUUUAGAUGUGAGGCACUGGUCUGGUUGAAAAGUCAGUUGAAUUUUAUUAUAUUUUGUAUUUUUUGUCCCUCUUAGAAUUAUUUAAAUUUUUAAGUAGUUUUUUUAUAGCUGUUUUUAACUUUACAGCAAAAUUUAGUGAAAGUAUGGAGAGUUCCCAUAAAAAAAACAGGGAAAUAUCUGAACAGCAGCUUCACCAAAGAAGAUACACAAAUGACAAGUAAGUAUAGGAAAAGAUGAUCUACUUCAUAUGCCAUUAGGGAAUUUUAAUUUAAAACAACAAGAGAUACACCUACACAGCUAUUAUAAGGUCCAAAACACUGACAAUAUCAAAUGUUGGCAAGGAUGUGGAGCAACGGGAACUCUCAUUUAUGGCCCAUGGGAAUGCAAAAUGGUACAACCACUUUGCAAAAUAGUUUAGUGGUUUCUAACAAAACUGAAAGUACCCUGACUAUAUGAUCCAGCAAUCAUGCUCCUUGUCAUUUACCCAAAUGAGUUGAAAACUUGUGUCCAUGCAAAAACCCACAUGUGGAUGUUUAUAGCUGCCCUUUAUGCAUAAUUUUCCAAAUUUGGAAGCAGUCAAUAUGUCCUCCAGCAGGUGAACAGAUUAAUAAACUGUGGCACCACCAGACAAUGGAAUAUUAUUCAGCACUAAAAUCAAAAUUAACUAUCAUGUCAUGAAAAGAUAUGGAGGAAUCAGCACAUUGCUAAGUGAAAUAACCCAAUCUGAAAAGGCUCCAAACUGUAUGAUUUCAACUAUGUGACAUUCUGGAAAAGGCAAAACUGUGGGGAGAGUAAAAAGAUUGGUAGUUUGCUCAGGACUGGGGAGGGAGGAGAAAGGAGGGCUGAACAGGAUUACGGGAGAUUUUCAGGGCAGUGAAACUGAUCUGUAUGAUAGUAUUAAUAUAAUUGUGGAUACAUUCAUUAUAUAUUUGUCUAAACCCAUAGAAUGCACAACACCAAGAGUGACAUCUAAUGUACUUUGGGUAACAAUGACGUGUCAAUGUUGGCUUAUGGAUUGCGACAAAUGCACCACUCUGGAAGAUGUUUUAUUGACAUGCCAUGUUGCCCAGGCAGGUAGGUCGAGUCUACGGGAGAAGGUAAGUGGCCGCCGUGGGAAGAUUCUAGUCUGCUCAACUCAUGGGCCAACUCCCCAACCCAUAUGACAUGUUUUACUGGCAUUUCUUUCGAAAUUUAUUACAGUUACUGCAUAACUCAAAUUUUUAUUUUUCCUUUUUGUAAGCCAUUGUUGGUUCUUACGGUGGCAUAUUGGUUUCAUAUACUUUAGAAGUCCCAGGGUUAUUUAAGAAUCACUGUCCUUGAUUGUAGGUAUUGGUAAAAGCACAAUUAUGUAUUCUAAUUAGUUACUCUUGAUAGUUACUCCUACUAAUGAGAGCUUCUCAUUUAUCUCAGAAUUUCCAAAGUCAAAGUCCUGAUUUUUAGUGUCUACCCUCCCAGUGUUUACAUGUUUUAACUAUAGGAUAACUUGGUGAUUUUGGACUAUUUUCUGUGGCAAUUUAUUUCAGCUCUGUAAGAAAUGAAUUUUUGAUCAUUGAUAAGAACUAAAAUCUAGUCAAACAGUUCUGCUAGUAAUCAGUUCGACUUAAAAACAAACUGACAAAAGAACAGGCAAAUUCUGGUCUAAUCUCUCUGAGCACCAUACCGUGGUAUGUGCUCUCUUCUUCUUUUAACUUAAAAGAUACAGCCCCGAGCAGUUGGGAAUGCGAUCUAGUUUUGUUGCUUUGCAGGACACCUAGGUACAGUGUCCCGUGUGGUGUUGUCAGAGGUGUUUGAAGCAGAGGAACUCCAUCUUGAGUAGCAGCUGUGUAAAAUGAGGCCGAGAGGCACUGGGCUGCCUUCUUAGGAGGUCGGGCAUUCUUAGUCACAGGAUGAGAUAGGAGGUCGGCACAAGAUACAGGUCACAAAGACCUUGCUGAUACAGCAAGUUGCAGUACAGAAGCCGGCCAAAACCCACCAAAACCAAGGUGGGACCACAGUAACCUCUGGUUGUCCUCAUUGCUCAUUAUAUGUUAAUUAUAAUGCGUUAGCACGCUGUUAGUAAAAGACACUCCCAGCAGCACCAUGACAGUUUGCAAAUGCCAUGGCAACGUCAGGAAGUUACCCUAUAUGGUCUAAAAAAAAAAGGAGGAACUCUCAGUUCUGGGAAUUGCCCACCCCUUUCCUGGAAAACUCAUGAAUAAUCCACACCUUGUUUAGUGUAUAAUGUAGAAGUAACGAUCAGUAUAAGCAGCUGAGC